rnacentral:lncRNA from 1 species
UCAAAAAGUUGUUCUCAAACAUAGCCUGAAGAGUUUUUUCUGUCUUCUUUCCAAUUUUGCAGUCAGUCCAUCAUCUUAAAAGAGAUACAGUUCCCUAUAUCAAAACCACUCAACUGUUUCUGUGAAGAUCCUGCAUCAACAAAGACCCCCAUUCUUCCUGACACUGGAGACGUUGUCCUGGCCCGAGUGAUAUCUGUGUCCUGUGCCAGAGCGAGACCAGGCGGCAUAAGAGGAUCCAUGCAUCGUGGCAUAGCACGGGAACUGUUGCAAGUACAGAAGAAAUGCAGUUCUGACCAGACUGAAUCACACCAGAACCUCGGUCCAAGCUGCUGCUGCUCAGUCAGUGCUGGACUUGCAAAACAGGUGUGAAACGUCUAACGAAGACUAUCCUAGUAAAAAUUCAGGUUUUUGUAUCUCCAUCUUCUUAGGCAAUUUCUUCAGCUGGUCUUCUGCUUAUCCCUCAUCUUUACUACCAAGAAGUCUGCCUUUCACAUUUGCCAUAAAACUGUACAAUACUCCCUCACUGCUUAUUAACAGAGGAGCUCUCUCUAUCAAUCUUUUGCAAUCUGAUCUAGUUGGACUGCUGUUCUCUCUCUCUCUCUCUCUCUCUCUCUCUUUCUCGCUCGCACUCUCUCCCUCUGACUAUUUCUUGCUCACUCUCUCCCUCCCUCCCUCUUUCCCUCCCUCCUGUGGUGUCACAGAAGCUGCCAUUUGCAGCCUCACUCCAUCCCUCCCUCUCUCUCUUUUCUCCUCCCAUCCUUUCUUUCUCGCUCUUGUUGUCUCAUUCCCUCCCUCUCGCAUCAUGGCACUACCAGUUGACAGCAACUUGAUGUACAGACAUAUCAUUCAGAAAACAGGAGCAUACAAUCCACCAUUGUGUUUGGUCACGUGUUAAUCAGAAGUAAAUAGAAGUGACAUUAUGAAGAUGAAAGACUUGCACAAUAACUUCCCACAUAAAAUUAACAACCCAGAGUUUGCUGUCUUUCUGAGCCCAUCUGCUCUUAUUUCACUCAGAGAUAAGUACUGUUAACCCAACAUUUACCCUCAUAGUUAAGAAGUGAUUCAUAAGUGGUUCUUCAUCUAAAUUAGUUCAAAUUCACUUGGCCUAUGUAGCUCAGGUCACCUAUUGACUGUUGCACUGCUGACGUGACAAGGGUGAAAGUAUCUUUUUUGGCCGGGGUAGUUUGGUGUUGUAAUGGAAGUCUAUGUAUAUCGAUAUAUCACGCUGCUGGAUGCUGUGUCUCGCUGUA